rnacentral:rRNA from 1 species
ACGGAAGGCAGCAGUGGGGAAUAUUGGACAAUGGGGGAAACCCUGAUCCAGCGACGCCGCGUGAGUGAAGAAGUAUUUCGGUAUGUAAAGCUCUAUCAGCACGGAAGAAAAUGACGGUACUUGACUAAGAAGCUCCGGCUAAAUACGUGCCAGCAGCCGCGGUAAUACGUAUGGAGCCAGCGUUAUCCGGAUUUACUGGGUGUAAAGGGAGCGUAGACGGUAAAGCAAGUCUGAAGUGAAAUCCCGGGGCUCAACUCCGGAACUGCUUUGGAAACUGUUUAACUAGAGUGCAGUAGAGGUAAGCGGAAUUCCUAGUGUAGCGGUGAAAUGCGUAGAUAUUAGGAGGAACACCAGUGGCGAAGGCGGCUUACUGGACUGUAACUGACGUUGAGGCUCGAAAGCGUGGGGAGCAAACAGGAUUAGAUACCCUGGUA